CCCUUAGAUGUUCGGGGCCGCACGCGCGCUACACUGAAGGAAUCAGCACGUCUUUCUCCUUGUCCGAAAGGACUGGGUAACCCGCUGAACCUCCUUCGUGCUAGGGAUUGGGGCUUGUAAUUCUUCCCCAUGAACGAGGAAUUCCCAGUAAGCGCGAGUCAUAAGCUCGCGUUGAUUACGUCCCUGUCCUUUGUACACACCGCCCGUCGCUACUACCGAUUGGAUGGUUUAGUGAGAUCCUCGGAUUGGUCCCGGAGCGGCCUCUGGUCGUGCCGGAGUGCCGAAAAGAAUGUCGAACUUGAUCAUCUAGAGGAAGUAAAAGUCGUAACA
rnacentral:rRNA from 1 species